UUUAUUGGAGAGUUUGAUCCUGGCUCAGGAUGAACGCUGGCGGCGUGCCUAAUACAUGCAAGUCGAGCGAAUGGAUUGAGAGCUUGCUCUCAAGAAGUUAGCGGCGGACGGGUGAGUAACACGUGGGUAACCUGCCCAUAAGACUGGGAUAACUCCGGGAAACCGGGGCUAAUACCGGAUAAUAUUUUGAACUGCAUGGUUCGA
rnacentral:rRNA from 1 species